rnacentral:rRNA from 1 species
UAUAGUUUAUUUGAUAACCGAAGUCUACAUGGAUAACCGUGGGAAUUCUAGGGCUAAUACAUGCGUAAACCCGCAAGGGUGGUGUUUAUUAGAUUUUAAGUCAACUCCAAGCUUGCUUGGACACGUUGGAAUGAUAAUAACCGAACGAAUCGCAGUGCUAACGCGGCGAUAAAUCAUUCAAAUUUCUGACCUAUCAGCUAUCGUCGGUAGGGUAUUGGCCUACCGAGGCAUUGACGGGUAACGGGGAAUUAGGGUUCGAUUCCGGAGAGGGAGCCUGAGAAACGGCUACCACA